ensembl:lncRNA
CGCGCGGACGGUUCGCCGCCGCCGCCGGGGAGCGCCGGAGACCCCCCCGGGCCGCUACUGCGUCACGUCCCCCCCGCUCCUCCGUGAGGACGUCGGCACCGGGCCGGAGUGCCGCUACCGGUGACGGAUAUCCCGGGUCCGUUGCCCGCUCGAAGCAGAAAGCAGCGACGCGGGAACUGGCGUGCGCUUGGUUUGCUCUCUCGAGUUGCAAAAUCCAGGGAAAUUGUGUUUUCGUGUGUAGCGGCCGUGAGUAACUUUGACCGAAGCAUCCUUCCUUCCUGCCAGUUCUGAAGGAAGGAAUCUCUCCCUUGCCUUUGGUCUCCGUGCUGACGGGAACUCAUACGGGCUUGGUUACUUCAGCCGCUGCUAGGGGAGAGGGGGCCGUGCCGGAGCGGCUGUCACACGGCGUGCUGGUAUGGCUGCUUUGUUCAGUGACACGGGGAUGUUCUUCACCUGCCCUCGGUUGGCUGAGGGGAGCCUUCAUGGCGGCUGCAGCUCCUCACAGGGAGCGGAGGGGCAGCGCUGAGCUCUGCUCUGUGUGACAGCGACAGGGCCCGAGGGAACGGCAUGGAGCUGUGUCAGGGGAGGGGCAGCUGGCGGUCAGGGACAGGGUCUGCACCAGAGGGCGGUGGGCUUUGAAUGGGCUGCCCAGAGCUGUGGGCACAGCCCUGAGCUGCCGGAGUUCAGUGAGCAUUUGACAUCACUCUCAGACGUAAGGUCUGAUCCGUAUGAGUCUCUUCCAGCUUGGAAUAUUCUUUGAUUCACCCUUGAAUUCAAGGUGUUGAACAACCCUGAACCAUGUGCUCCACUGGCAGUGAAGUGCCUCACGCUGACACGGCUUGUUCUUCCUGAGACAAGCUAACGUUACCUCAUGCGUAUAACUUUUUAUAUUGAUAUAAGCAUAUCUGUACCAGGAAAGCUCAGUGAAUUAACUUUACUACUUCUGGCUACAGAUCGCAUAAAAAUAAAUCGUUUCCAUUACUCGUCCUGACAUAGGUAACUCAAAUGUAGUGCUCUUUUGGAAACAAAGCACGCAGUGAAAUUGAAACAGCUUUACUAUGUGAGAAAGUCCUUGUUUGCUUAUAUAUUCAACUGGAACACAUACAUCACAUAUAGAGCUACAUAGUAAUCAAAUUGAAGUACAUAUACAUAAAAAUAAUAUAUGCCUGAAAAAGUGUAUAUUAUGCACGUUUCCGUGUCAAGCCCUAUAUAAACCAUUAGGUUCCAGAAGUGUCUAUUAUGUAAGUAGCUUACAUAAAUAAUCUAAUUGGUGACACACCUAAUACCUGGCAAUGUGUUCUGUUGAAUAGAAGUCCAAAAUUUAUUUAGAAGAUGAAUUAAAAGAAUGUAUCUAAAAGCUGCAAUUCAUGGGUCAGAGUUAAGAUUGUGUUUUUUUUUUAAUCCACUAUAGAGGGGACUUUCCCUUCCUAAGUGGCUGUUCAUAUUCCUUUGCUCGAGCCCCACAUGAACACAGAUUUCAGCACCAUCCAAUAAUAAUCUGAAAAUUGCCUUCAUGGGUGAAGAUUGCUUUGAGUGGCAUUACUGGAAGUUACCCAUAGCCCUGCCUUAAUCUGGUCUGGGAAGACUUCCUAAAAAAUCAUUUCCAUAUCCAGCCUAUCAGCUAGAGUAAGGAUAUGUAUCCAAAUGAUCAGAGUAAUUCUUGCCCAUGCCUGGUUCGGAUGAGGAGUACAUACAUGAGGACUUCAAGAUGGCUGAUGGUGCCUUUUACUGGGCAAAUGUGCUGGAGAAAGGAACUGGAUAACUGUUCCAAGUAACUGCAGAAUAAUAACAAGGACUUUGUUGGCAAAUUGAAGGUCAGGUGGAGGAGCCAUGCAGACACUGAUCAAUAUUUGCUGCAAGUGACAGAUGUUCACUAUGUCUUGCUCAAAAUCUAUGAGAGAAGGAGGAAGUGUCCAAACUGCUCAGGAAAACAGGAUGAGGGAUUUUGUUCUGCUCUUUCUUAAGCCAGAGAAUAUAGAGGUGAAAAAUGAAUGUGUUGUAGCCAAAUAACAGACAAGCAUCUUUAUUACUCUUUUUUGUUAAGAACUUUUGUUAUUAGGGGAAGGUGAGAACUUUGGGAUGCCUCUACCUAUUUUUUCAUGAUGACCUUUACUAACUCAGCUUAGCUCUGACAUGACACACCUUAAGUGCUGAGUACACUUAUCUUUGGAAAGGAAAGCAGAAAUCACUCCUGUUUUCUGGAAAGGACACGGAGAUCCUUGGGGACCUACAGGAAGUCACUGCUACUCGUAUUAACCUUGGUAUGCACUUGAGGUACUAGUAUGAAUAUAACAUCUAAAUAUUCUUCAGAGAUUUUUUUCCUUCUGCAUAAUUUCUAGCAAAUUUCCUUGUGUGUUGCUUUCCUUGUCCAAGCCUCCUCUGAAGCUAGAUACUUGCAUGUAAGUGAACACAAAUUGUCACAAGCAUCCUUCCAGUUCUUUUAGUGCCUUCUGGUUCCUGUGCUAAAAGCCAUUCAGAGGAACCAUGAACAUCUCCUUCCUAUUCUCUUUUUCUAUUUUGAAACAUUUUUUCAUGCCUCACGCAGCUUGCAGGGCUCAUGUUCGUCAUCAUUAUGGUGCCUCGAUUGCCAGAGACAAAUUGCAAAUAUUUGUCAUUUCUACACAGAACACAGUGCCAAUGAUAAUAGGUUUCCUUUUUCUCUCAAUUUUGGGAUGUCAUUACCAUCUGCUUCUUCAGCCUGGGCUUCCCUAGGAAAUUGUUGUUCCCAGGGAAGGCAGUGGUGUUCAACUAAGUAGGAUGCCUCCCACUUUACGCGACCUUGCUAUAGAAAGCCUGUGCUGCUGCUGGAAUGGGAAGGAGAGAAGAAGAUCCAGAAUUGGUGAGAGCUGACCAGCAACAGGAUUCAAGCUUUUAGUUCUAUGUGCGUGUUGGCAGGGACGUUACCUUGAAGUGUGUUUCCAAGAGAUGAGGAAAAAGCCAUACCAAAAAAGGCAGUGGAUAGCUCAGAAAGGAAUUCAGCAUUGCACAGAAGGGUACUGAAACGUAUUUAACUGCAGAAGUAAAUGAGAGACAUCAUACUGACAAUCAGGAAGGUAGCAUUGCCCUGCUCUGUGUGAUAGUAAAAUAGUAAAAUACUGAAAUGGAAUGCAGUCUUUGCAUUUACAUCUCUGAUAGCACAUGCAGGUCAGCACCAUGUGCACUAGAAAGGAACAGACUUUAGAGCAACUGGCCCAAAUCCAAGAAUUUUAUAUUGGUAAAGAUUUGAUUUUAAGCCUCUCAUAAUCUCAGCAUUUUGAAAUGCUUAAUUUUGGUAAUUUGUCUCAUAAAAUGUGAAAGGAGCUAAGAGCGCAGCGUGCUGAACGUAGCAUGAGCCAAAGUAAAUCUGCUAUUGCUUUUUCUCUGCUUUCACUGUUAACGGCAAGCCUGCCCUGCAGUCCGUGCUCCCUUUAACUCUUGCAGCGCCUCCACACUCUUGGCAUGACAGGGAGAGCAGCAGCCGAGCAGCGUGAGGUGAGGACGUGGGUUGGGUUCUCAUUUGUGGAAGACCACAGUGACCAUUUUGGGGAAGGUAGUGCCAAGCUGGUGGAGAUAACUCAUGGUUCCCGCAGCUCAUUUCCACUGUCACUGAUGGCAUCCGGAUAUUGCCUGGGUUAGAGGUGCGGGGCUGCAAUCUAAUACAGGACAUGAUAGCAGGAUUUUGCUCUGCAGCAUUUUCAAGCUCACCAUCUAUCUGGAUUUCAAAAAGCAUUUUUGUAACCUCAGUCUUUGCAUUUCAGUGUAGAAGUUUGAAAAAUACAUUAGCUCUACAACUCUCCAUAUGAAGAGGCAUCAUUUGACACCUAUUGUAAACCCCAUUACUACAUUACAACACUGGGGUCCUGUGGUGAUUUGUAUUAAUCUUUUCCAGCUCACCCAGUUCUGGGCAUUUGGAAAGGAAAGUCUUGGAGGUCUCGCUCACACAUUUCAUGCUCUUGUAGUCCAACCGGUAUUUGCUUUCUGCUGGCACUGUUCCCUCUCUCAGGAACGCCUCUCCCUUGCAUUCAGUUUGACAAAUCAUGGUACUUAAGGCAUGUCACAGAACUGGGUAUGGAUUUACUACACACAACCUAUGGUACAGUAUCAGGGGAAGAAGAGAGGCUGUGCUCUGGAGUGUGCAAAUUUGGCUGGUGGGGCUGGAAUUGCAAAGGAACCCAUCCGCAUUCAGCUAGAUUUAAUCCAGAUGAUCUUGUAACAGAAGAGGGCACUCAGGGGCCAGACAGCAAAUAAACUAUAUCAUGAUAUGCGAUGAGGGAAAAUCAUUGAGAGGAUGGACAGAAUCCUUGUCUGAGCUCAGUGCAGCUUAUAGCUGGUAAGCCUGGGUUUCAUUCAUGCAAAACGAAAGCCCAGUCACUUUAAAACAAUCCCUGUGAAUACAUGCGAGACAACUCAUCCAAAGCAUUUGAAGUAACAUCCCUGUGUAGACAGGACUUCAUUAUGCUACUUGUUAUUGUUUUCAGUGAGUCCUCACCUGCUCUUUUAAGUUCAACAUACAUUACGAGAGAAAAUUAUUGCUCAUUAUUGUUGUAUUCCCUAAUUGCCUUCUAUAUUAGUGUGUUCAAAGGAAUGUAUUUUUUCUCUUCUGCCCUUCUCUGCCUGCAUCCAGCAACACUCAGCAUUUUCUACAGAGCUCAGAAUUGCUUGCAUUCUUAUAAAAAUGCCUCAGCCAUAUGGGAUUUGCUGAGAGUAAAUUAAAAAGUGCAUGACUUGGGGAAACGCAAUCCUUUAUACUGCACUGAUUCCAUAGUCACGGUAUAAACACGAAGUGUUAGUAUAAAGAAUUUCCACAGUCUUUCAGCAUUUGAGUCCACGUUCUGCACAGGCCAGGAGUGGCAGGAGCUCUCCUGUCAAGGAGUGUGAUGUUGCACUAAGGGGCAGGGGCCAGCUUCUGUGCUUGUAAGUAUAUUGCACCAGCCAAGCUCUAGCUGCAGCCUUGCAGUUUUCCAGGCAGCUCUGCUUCCUUUAGGCAAAGGAACGUGAGCUACUGCAGCUAAUUUUAUGCUAUAUAAAUAAUGUUGAUAGAGAGACAAGCCUGAGAUUAGGUAGGUAAGAUAGCUAAAAUAAUACAUUAAAUAGGAAAGUUGAAGCAUUUGUUUAUCAGAAAUAUGAGUAUGUUCCUCAAGGAGCUGCAGGAGCCUGACUGUAAUGAUGACAAAUGAGAGAUCCCAGAAUAAUAAGAUCAGUCUUGCAUAUAGGCAGAGCCACAACUGAGACUCUGUGUGACAUAGAUGUGCUUGUUGUACAGAGAAAUUGGGUCCUUAGAUUCUGAUAGAGAACAUUGCCUCUUCUUAACAGCCUGCACUUGACAUGCUGACAGAGCAAAGGCUAUGCUGUGUGCCUGGUGCUACUCUGCUCGUCUCCUUCUGCUCCACCUCCCCUUGAGCAUCUCUUCUGGUGGCACAACAGUACUGGACCGAGAGCCACUGAGAGCAGGGACCAUCUUCUGUACAGCACUUCCACUGCUAAUGUCUUGUGUUACUCUUGCCUGAAGCACUUCAUACAAUCUCUCUCUUUGCUGGGCCUUAGAGAAAGCAGGGAAUUUGCUGUAGAACAAGAUGCAUGGGGUGAUGUGUAAGAGGCGGUUUUGCUAUAGGUUACCUGCACAUAGGCAUCUUUGUUGCCCUUCAGAGGUAUCCAUUCAUCUUACCUGUGGGCAGGCACUUUCCUCACCCUCCUGCACAGAACCAGCAGAAUAAGAGCAUCAGGAGCCAGUGGGCAGCCUGCUCCUUCCCACUUUGGUAAUGAGACUGUGCCAAAAUUAGGGACAUGAGGGAAGUGAGCUGCUAGUUGCUUUCUUCUUUAGUCCUCUUUGCAGAUAGGAAUCUAGACACUGGACUUUCUUCCUUCUGAGUAAUAUAUACCUUUCCUCAUUCUUCUGAGCAGUUUAUACCUUGACUCACUGCUGUCCUACUUCAAAGGUGCAGAAAUCAGAGGGAGAUCUCUCACACCUCACUGGAAUGAAGUUGUAUCUUCUCACCUCAGGAUGGGUAAACAGUAUGUCAUCUCAGCUGAGAUCCUAACAAAGAUGACCACAAGUCUUGGGGUGGCACACCCGCACUGCGGGAGCAGGGAGAUGGCUUUGCAGCGCUGAGUGCAAAAAGAGAAGGUACAGAAACACUGUGCAAAGGCUGCAUUAGUUCUGCUGCCUGUGGAGUAAUUUAGCUUUUCUACUUGUACCUCUUACUUGGCACUGUUGUUUUUUUUUCCUAGUACAGAAUAAAUAAUUCAUCGCCAACCUUACUGUUGCGAUAGAUCUGCAC